CUUUGCAUCUUAAACCAGCUCUCUGCUGGUUUAGAAUGAUUUCUGAGGAAUUUCCCAGCUUUUCAGAGCUCAGGACUGACACCCAGUUCUGCUCUGCACAGCAGCACCAGCUCCCACCGGGUGCGCUCCCCGCGGCGCCUGAGCAGCGGCCGGCAGGAGGCGGCUGCCCCGGGCGCCGCCGGGACUGCACGUCCCCGAGCCCCGCCUGCCCAGUUCCGGCCUAAGCGGGCUCAGGCUGCGCAGCCGCAGCCCCUCCGCGCGGCUGGGCCCGCGCCCUCGCGCUCCGGGGGGGCUGUGCCGCACCGCGGGGCUGCAGCCGCUGGGGGCUCCAGGGGCGGCCCCGGGCAGGCAGCUCUGCGGGCGGAGCCCGCCUCCUAACUCCCGGCGAGCCGGGGCGGAGCGAGCCGGGCCCGGCCGUUCGUCGCCGGGGGAGAACCGGGGUGCGGGAAGAGGCGGAGGGAUCAUAGAAUGGUUUGGGUUGAAAAGGACCUUGAAGAUCAUCCAGCUCCACGACAAUUGUUUAAGUGUGUAAAGAACAGAGCACACCGGAGCAGCACCCACCACCUCAUACCUCUGCCACUGGAUAGUGCCAAAGCUUCCUCAACCAACAACUUAAAAAAUAAAAGAAAGCCAUAAGCACGGGUUUCUGGCACGGAACGGUUAAUUCAGUCUGAACCCCAGCACUGACUACGGGAGCGUAACACGCAUACAGGACGCGGAUCUGCUGAGGUCCCGGUGAAGUGGACCUGUGACACUGCUGGGGCACCCACUGCGAUGUACAGGCAAUUGACGUACUGAAAACCGUAAUCACAGGUCACCCCGUCUCUCCCUCAUGCUUGAAUAACCUAAAAACUGUUGUGAGAAUAAAUGAAUCACCCAGGAGCACCCCUGUGCAAUUAACUUCUAUCUGUAUCUUGAUGUGUUUGAUGUGAAAAUUCAGGUGCCUCAAUAAAACAAGUCCAAGGAAAAACACAUCAGCUCAAAGGAAGAUGCAGCACCAACCUCACCUCACAUAAACUUAAGCUCCAUCUUGGUGAGGACUGGAGACACCAAAAGCACAUCAAACAAUUCUGUUAGUUCUCAAGGUCCUCCUUGUUUGUUUACCACAAAACACAAAUACAGUUUGCUUACUUGAAGCAAACUUACUCGUGACAGCACAUGUGCAGAAAAUCCCGCGGAAGGUUCCUGUCGUGGGGAACACUCGCUGAGCUCUGCUUCCAUCUAGCGACCCAAGGAACCUGCAGUGACACGGCAGCGAGGGCACCGCGGCAGCGAGGGCACCGUGGCGGCGAGGGCACCGCGGCAGGGAGGGCACCGCGGCAGGGAGGGCACCGUGGCAACGAGGGCACGGCGACGGCGAGGGCACCGCGGCAGGGAGGGAACCGUGGCGGCGAGGGCACCGCGGCAGGGAGGGCACCGUGGCGACGAGGGCACCGCGGCAGGGAGGACACGGCAAGGGCACCGCGGCAGGGCUGGCACCGCGGCUCGCACUGACACCGGCCCGCCGGGGCCGCAGGUGAACUUCGCCGGCUAACACCUCUAGUUCUACUGGAUGCCAGUUAUAAAGAUGAGAGGGCAACAGAACGUGGCGGUGGGGGGAAGCUUCCAAUGCACGUUGCGAUUUUUAAGUGCACAAGUCAAAACUCUCAAGCAACUGUACAAGCAGAACCUCACAAAACCAGCCAACACGCUUUGCUUAAGCUUUGGGCAGCCCUUGCAGAGAGAAAUUUAAAAGCGAUGAUUUCUGGAGAAGCUUUUGUGCUUUUUGUUUUUCGUCUUCUUUUCAAUGUCCCCCUGAUUAGCAGCUGUAGAUAAAAAUUAACACGGACAGAGAUCUUAGGAGUAAAUUCCAAGCACCACCGCUCCUCCAGACCAAAAGGCCACCAGGGAACCGUUCCCAGGACCAGGGACAGAGGUCACUGCUCACAUGGAAGAAGAAACUCCACAUGCACAACUGACAUCCAAAAUGGCUCAACAUAAUUUAUUUUUUAUGUUAAAAUGUACAGAGUUCUUUUGAAAGUACUUGCUAGAAAGGGGAAAAAAAAGUGAUAUUACAUACAGGAGAGGAAGGGAGACCAUCCAGCCGGGAGCGUAUGACAUGGAGAAUUACAAAGGCAUCUAGGCACCCCCUCCCCUUAGCUUACAAGUCACCAUGAACAAAGUACAAAGAGGUUACAAAACAGGAAAAGCAAAUAUAAACAGACAGGAA